rnacentral:rRNA from 1 species
UACGUAGGGAGCAAGCGUUGUCCGGAAUCAUUGGGCGUAAAGCGCGCGUAGGCGGCCCCGUAAGUCCGCUGUGAAAGUCAAAGGCUCAACCUUUGAAAGCCGGUGGAUACUGUGGGGCUAGAGUCCGGAAGAGGCGAGUGGAAUUCCUGGUGUAGCGGUGGAAUGCGCAGAUAUCAGGAGGAACACCGGUGGUGUAGACGGCUUUCUGGACCGUAACUGACGCUGAGACACGAAAGCGUGGGUAGCAAACAGG